UUCCGCUGGGAUCCGGAGAAGCUGACCCUCUCACCGGGGGGUCUUCCCGGGGCGCCUAGGCCAGGGCGGGCCCCCAGCGUCGUCCUCUCCCACCCCCCCACUCCCCUGCCCACACAUUCUGGAUCAAAGCAGACAUGCGGCCGGCGCUCUGCGAUCCAAGGCACACUGGGGUCUUUCAUCCGGUGUUUUUAAAAAGGAGGAAACAAAAGGCUCAGAGGCAGGGCCCCAGGUGCGCUCGCCCGCGGGGGCUGCGGCGCGGACGACCGAAGAAAACCACGACUUCCUGGAAAAGUCUUCACCGUAAAUAUUAAUCUCUUUGGCAUGAAGAGGAAAACACUGCAGCUAAUUUUUCAUGGGAUAACAAAAAUAUAAACUGCAAUUUCUUUUAUUUUUUCCCUUUCGAUGGUCUUUUUAAACGAGGAGUAAAGAUUUCAACGCCAGGUCCAUUUUCCAAAUUUUGUACCAGAACCUUGAGGAUGCUUGUCUCUCGCGCGCUUCUCCGCAGACCGAACCCUCUCCGGAACUCAGAGCUGUUCACCCAAGUCAGCGGAGGAGGCCUCCUGGGACUUGAGCCUGAGGGUGGCGAAGAACCCUAGGCAGAGAUCAUCAACUUGGUACCGAUGAGUGACGCGGAGCUUGAACAUUCCAGCGACUUGCUCCAGGGCCACUCCCAGUUAAGAGGCUGAGUGUUAACUGCAAGAGGCUGAGUGUUAACUACGCCGUUGGCUCCAGGAACCGAACCGGGUUUGGAUACAGACCCAGUCACACCAUCCAUGAAAAGCUGUUUCUAUAAUAUGAAAAAUUGUUAAAUGACGCUUUAGUAAAAGCCAUUUAAAGAUCUUUUCUAAUAAAUUUUUCAUCUUUCCAAACAAUGCCGCUAAUUACCUUCUGAUACAGUGCGUUUCCAAAAUGUUUAUGAACUGAAAACAAAAAUAAAAAACUACAUUUUUAUGUUGUAAAGGGAGUGGGGGGGACUUUCUAAAAUUUGUCGUAUUAUAGCACUUCUCAUGACAACUUGACCCUUUAGGCAUAAUUUUUGACAAAAUGUCUUGUUCUUUUUCUUUUUACAGCUGAACGUCUUAAAUUCAAGGAGUAAACACAUAUAAUGAGAUAAAAGUUUAUCACUGUUAGCACAACCAAUAAUUUGCAUCGUAGUCUCAAUUUCCUCGAAUCUUUAAUAAAACCAAAGUGGUCAAGUGUUUAAAUGAU
rnacentral:lncRNA from 1 species